rnacentral:RNase_P_RNA from 2 species
GAAGUGGGCCAGACGAUCGCGGGGCUCAAGGCCUGCAAGAGGCCGUGAGCCAUGAGGAAAGUCCGGGCUCCACAGGGCAGGAAGCAGGCUAACGGCCUGGCGGGGUGACCCGACGGAAAGCGCCGCAGAAAAGAAGACUCCCGCUGCUCGCUUGGGCGAGUGAGAGAAAAGCUGAAACGGUGGUGUAAGAGACCACCAGCGUCUGGGCGACCAGGCGGCUUGGCAAGCCCCUUCCGGAGCAAACGCAAAUAGGAGCGCCAUGGUGUUGCCCGCACCGCGCUCGGGUUGCGCGCUAGAGGGCGUCGGCAACGGCGCUCGUAGACAAAUGAUCGUCCUCGACAGAACCCGGCUCACCGGCCCACUUCGCGA